rnacentral:sRNA from 1 species
GUUUUUACAGGCCAAUACAUACUCCUCGGCUCACAAGCGACGAGCAAAAAAGUCCAUGGAACGCGGCCGGCCAACCGUCCGUGCAGACUACUCAUCUCCAUACCGGUUUACUCCCACCCUCCCCAAUGGUUACAGCAGAAUUCAGCCUAUUCAUUGAAUAUCUGGUGCUCAGACUGGGCCUAGGGAGUGGACCGAGGGCGGAGACAUCUCCCACGUUCAGUCGACUCGUUGAUGACCGCGUAGACAGCCCUCGAGACGUCGAAACAGAAGUAUCUCCAGAAGAAGCGGCACCACGGAGAUUACUCAGAGAAGGACGAGAAGAAAUGGAUGGUGCUCUAACAGGAGGGGAAUAGGUACUACCCACAGAUCCAGCUACGAGAAAUAUACAUUCUCCUCUUGUUAUCGUUGCUAACUAUACGCGCUCCGCCGGACAAGGCCGACAACCCACCACUCGGUAAACCCUUUCCCACACCAGAGAAGGAUGCUUCGGCGUGACCAGGGAUCAUACUCAACCUCUGUUUCGGCCUGCCAUGUCUGUCGGGACCAAUCAUCGAGUCUCGUCUGUGUAGCGGCACCGGAGGAGGGAGCAUUGUUCCGGCAGUCGCUGAUGCAGGCAUAGCGAUUUUGACGUUAGCGAAAGCAGAAGAACCAUUGGCUUUAGCAGCCGAUGAUGCUGUGGGCUUCAAGAGGCUGGAAGUGGAUGAAGAGGAAGGAGGAUUUGGUUGAGCAGAAGUUUGAAUGGACAUCUCGGACAAAGGGCCCGGUCGACCAGGCUUGGCUGAUGAGCCCACAGAGCCAGCACGGCUAGAGCCCGAAGUGGGAGAUUUUGAGUCAAAACUUAGGUUUCCCCCAACACUGUCGCCAGACUGCGAAAUUAAACCUCGAGCCAUCCUCAUCUGCUUCCAUGCUGGGAUCUCUUCACUUGCGCUGAUAUUUGAGGUUGAAGGAACUGGAGAUGCUGAAGCGCAUGAUGUAGUGGAAGAAGCUGGCCUUAAAGAAGAAGGAAUCAUAGAGACAUGAUUGGUCUCUUCUUCCAAAGCGCUAUUUUCACCGCCACUUCCUGGACUUGAGAAAACGGGACAGUCAGGAGCGAUGGAUCUGUCGUCGAUUUUGCCCUCUCCAGUCUCAUCUGGCCAACGAAUCUGCCUAGGUUUGACCUCGAUUGCUUUUUCAGGCACCGACAUUCCACCAAACAAAUUCUUUCGGAGAACACUCUUGGGGGAGGCAUUGUGAGAUGCACGCAUGGGGGAAGGGGCAUGCCGGCCAAUGGAUACUCGCCGUGGAGAUGGAGCAGCCAGUGACACAGGUAAGCGAUGUUGAGAAGGGGCGGCAGGCAGUGAAUGGCUCUUCCCAAAUAGUGCAGCUGUACUUUGAUCGACUUGAUUCCCCAGAGCAAGGAGUCUACUCUUGACAGAUGCUAGAUCGUCGCCUGACUGCAUGGAUUGGACGGCAAUGAUCUCCGAUUGAAGCUGAUUUGAGAAUCUGGAGAAGGCUGAAGCGGCUUUAGCUAGAGCCUCUGCUUGCUGUGAGAUGUAAUCUCUGAGGCCUCGCUCCCUAGCUGCUGCGACGCUCCUGGCGGUAUGCGCCUUGUGCUCUGCUACCUUCAAUUGGUGUUGAUAUAACGCUUCUUCAAUGUCCUCCCCAAACAUUUUCUCUUCUGCCUUCUUGAGCAAGUUGGUGAGGGUAAUGUAUUUGAGACUUUUGUUCUG